rnacentral:rRNA from 1 species
GUCCACGCCGUAAACGAUGGGUGCUAGAUGUUACUGGAAUUGACCCCGGUAGUAUCGUAGCUAACGCGCUAAGCACCCCGCCUGGGGAGUACGGCCGCAAGGCUAAAACUCAAAGGAAUUGACGGGGGCCCGCACAAGCGGUGGAGCAUGUGGUUCAAUUCGACGCAACGCGAAGAACCUUACCUGGGUUGGAACCCUCCAGAAGUCCGCAGAGAUGUGGAUGUGCCCGCAAGGGAACUGGAUGUCCAGGUGCUGCAUGGCUGUCGU